UAUGUGUUGGGUGUGCGGACGGAUGAGUUUUGGCAGUUUAGGCUCUGUGGAUGUUAUCUUGCUUAAACCCUUGCCAGAGUUUGUUUUCUUUCUUGUUUGAUGGAUCAUUUUACUUCAUCUCCCUUUUUCCUCCUAGCUGGAAUUCUUUUUAGGGUUUCUCUCAAUUUCUGAGGAAUUUUUCGCCUAUUCAGUUGAAUGCGGGCUGUGAUUACGGGCUUCUUUCUUUCGUCUUCAUUUCGUGCUUUCUGAUCAGUUGGAGUGUUGAACAUUGCAAGUUGAUUUUCCUUUGAUUUAUUGUUUCUCUUCUCGAACGUUAUCGGUGAUUAGAUUUAGUACAUGUUUGGCGUGCAGAUGGAUUAGUUUGGCGGUUCAGGCGCUGUGGAUGUUCUCUUGCUUAAACCCUUGCCAGAGUUUGUUUCCUUUGUUGUUUGAUGCACCGAGAGAGUUUGAAGAGUUUUUGGGUGGUCCCUUGUGGGUUUUACGAUUGCACACUUGUAGAACAGAAUGGGCGAUCUGGGCAUUGAGGCGCGGAAGCCACUCCUAGGUUUGUCUACUUCGCUUGAGGGCAAAAGGAGGAGCAAGAAGAAAGUGCUCGAGAAUGAAGGUGAAAUACAAAGGAGUGAAUGCCUCAGAUCUCUGAGGGAUAUUUCCCUUGCACUUGCUGAGAUGCCUGCACGUGGUGAUCUAACAGGUGAUGUCUGUCACUCGGCAGAUGGUUACCAUCUCAAUGUUAAAGUAUAUGAGAAGCUGCUAUUUAGUGUUUUUGACAUACUGGACAAGGGCAAACUUGGAAGUAGGAGAUUCUUGAACUCUUGAAAUCAAUCUGGCAAAUUCUAGGAAUCACAAGGACUAUCCAUGGUAUAUGCUAUGCUUGGGUCUUAUUUCAGCAGUUUAUCAUAACUGGUGAACAACGGCUUCUACAACAUGCCACUGAAAUGCUAAGAAAGAUUCCACUAAAAUAACAGCGAAGUGGUGAUGGUUUGCUUGAGAGCUUGACAGUACGUGCACAGCUGGUCAUUAAACUACAUGGCCUUGAUGUUAGUUUCUUUUGUCACAACAUAGUAGUGCAGAGUUGCCGUCCAUUGAUUGACACUUCGAAGUUUACAUCAUUAUCACAGAUAUCUUGUUUGUUCCGAAGAAAAGGUGAUGUUGAUGGUAAAAAAAAUAUGGAAAAAAGCAUGAUUUUUUCACCAAAACAAAUUUAAUGUGUUUUUUCCCAUGUUUUUUGUUUUUCUUUUUUUGACGUUAAUAUCAUGGAUUACACUUUAAACUUAAACUAAAUUAUUUAUCAUUGUUUAUCAUGAUUAAAACAUUAUUUUUAUCAUAAUAUUCUAGUUGUUUUUUUAUGUCUUG